rnacentral:rRNA from 1 species
UACAGAGGGGGCAAGCGUUGUUCGGAAUUACUGGGCGUAAAGGGCGCGUAGGCGGCCUGCUAAGUCGAACGUGAAAUCCCCGGGCUCAACCCGGGAACUGCGUCCGAUACUGGUUGGCUUGAAUUCGGGAGAGGGAUGUGGAAUUCCAGGUGUAGCGGUGAAAUGCGUAGAUAUCUGGAGGAACACCGGUGGCGAAGGCGGCAUCCUGGACCGAUAUUGACACUGAUGCGCGAAAGCCAGGGGAGCAAACGGG